GAUAAGUGGUUAUAAGAGAAAAUCUGUAACAAAGGCUAACAAGCAAAGGAAACAGCAAGGAUAUUGAAAAAAAAAAAGAGAAAAUCAAGAGAUGUAUGGAUAAAAUAGACAUCAUCCAAGGUACACUGUCACCUUGCAUAAAGGGAAAGAUGAGCUACCACAGGAUUUCCGAAUUGGAAGCAUUUGGAUGAUGUAGCCUGACACCUCCCAAUUCACUAUGAAUGGUGUAGAAGUCAUGUUUCCAUGAUGCUCUGAGAUUUUAUCCAUCACCAUGAAAGAACAUACCCAGUAUACCCUACUGUCUAAAGUAAAUAGACAGUGACAAGUGA